UCCGGUUUGUCACCGGCAGUCUCAUUAGAGUGCCCUUGCGUAGCAACUAAUGACAAGGGUUGCGCUCGUUGCGGGACUUAACCCAACAUCUCACGACACGAGCUGACGACAGCCAUGCAGCACCUGUGCGCCGGUUCUCUUUCGAGCACUCCUAGAUCUCUCUAGAAUUCCGACCAUGUCAAGGGUAGGUAAGGUUUUUCGCGUUGCAUCGAAUUAAUCCACAUCAUCCACCGCUUGUGCGGGUCCCCGUCAAUUCCUUUGAGUUUUAAUCUUGCGACCGUACUCCCCAGGCGGUCAACUUCACGCGUUAGCUGCGUUACCAAGGAAAUAAAUCCCCAACAACUAGUUGACAUCGUUUAGGGCGUGGACUAC
rnacentral:misc_RNA from 1 species